rnacentral:rRNA from 1 species
CACGUAGGGCGCAAGCGUUGUCCGGAAUUAUUGGGCGUAAAGAGCUCGUAGGUGGUUUGUUACGUCUGCUGUGAAAUUCUAGGGCUUAACCCUGGGCUUGCAGUGGAUACGGGCAGACUAGAGGUAGGUAGGGGAGAAUGGAAUUCCUGGUGUAGCGGUGAAAUGCGCAGAUAUCGGGAGGAACACCUGAGGCGAAGGCGGGCUACUGGGCCGAUACUGACGCUGAUGCGCGAAAGCCAGGGGAGCGAACGGG